rnacentral:rRNA from 1 species
AGUGGCGGACGGGUGAGUAACGCGUGGGUAACCUGCCUCAUACAGGGGGAUAACAGUUAGAAAUGACUGCUAAUACCGCAUAAGCGCACAGCAUCGCAUGAUGCCGUGUGAAAAACUCCGGUGGUAUGAGAUGGACCCGCGUCUGAUUAGGUAGUUGGUGGGGUAACGGCCUACCAAGCCGACGAUCAGUAGCCGACCUGAGAGGGUGACCGGCCACAUUGGGACUGAGACACGGCCCAAACUCCUACGGGAGGCAGCAGUGGGGAAUAUUGCACAAUGGGGGAAACCCUGAUGCAGCGACGCCGCGUGAGCGAAGAAGUAUUUCGGUAUGUAAAGCUCUAUCAGCAGGGAAGAAAAUGACGGUACCUGACUAAGAAGCACCGGCUAAAUACGUGCCAGCAGCCGCGGUAAUACGUAUGGUGCAAGCGUUAUCCGGAUUUACUGGGUGUAAAGGGAGCGUAGACGGCAGAGUAAGUCUGAUGUGAAAACCCGGGGCUCAACCCCGGGACUGCAUUGGAAACUAUUCGGCUAGAGUGUCGGAGAGGUAAGCGGAAUUCCUAGUGUAGCGGUGAAAUGCGUAGAUAUUAGGAGGAACACCAGUGGCGAAGGCGGCCUGCUGGACGACAACUGACGCUGAGGCGCGAAAGCGUGGGGAGCAAACAGGAUUAGAUACCCUGGUAGUCCACGCUGUAAACGAUGAAUACUAGGUGUGGGGGGACUGUCCCCCUCCGUGCCGCAAUUAACACAAUAAGUAUUCCACUUGGGGAGUACGAUCGCAAAGAUUGAAACUCAAAGGAAUUGACGGGGGCCCGCACAAGCAGUUGGAUUAUGUGGUUUAAUUCGACGCAACGCGAAGAACCUUACCGGGAUUUGACAUCCUACUAACGAAGCAGAGAUGCAUUAGGUGCCCUUCGGGGAAAGUAGAGACAGGUGGUGCAUGGUUGUCGUCAGCUCGUGUCGUGAGAUGUUGGGUUAAGUCCCGCAACGAGCGCAACCCCUAUUGUUAGUUGCUACGCAAGAGCACUCUAGCGAGACUGCCGUUGACAAAACGGAGGAAGGCGGGGACGACGUCAAAUCAUCAUGCCCCUUAUGUCCCGGGCUACACACGUAAUACAAUGGCGGCCAACAAUGGGAGGCAAAGCCGCGAGGCAGAGCAAAUCCCCAAAAGCCGUCUCAGUUCGGAUUGCAGGCUGCAACUCGCCUGCAUGAAGUUGGAAUUGCUAGUAAUCGUAGAUCAGCAUGCUACGGUGAAUACGUUCCCGGGCCUUGCACACACCGCCCGUCA